AUUGAACGCUGGCGGGAGGCCUAACACAUGCAAGUCGAGCGAGCGGCGGACGGGUGAGUAAUGUCUGGGAAACAGCCUGAUGGAGGGGGAUAACUACUGGAAACGGUAGCUAAUACCGCAUACCAUCGGAUGUGCCAAGAUGGGAUUAGCUAGUAGGUGGGGUAAAGGCUCACCUAGGCGACGAUCCCUAGCUGGUCUGAGAGGAUGACCAGCCACACUGGAACUGAGACACGGUCCAGACUCCUACGGGAGGCAGCAGUGGGGAAUAUUGCACAAUGGGCGCAAGCCUGAUUCAGCCAUGCCGCGUGUGUGAAGAAGGCCUUCGGGUUGUAAAGCACUUUCAGCGGGGAGGCGUUACCCGCAGAAGAAGCACCGGCUAACUCCGUGCCAGCAGCCGCGGUAAUAC
rnacentral:rRNA from 1 species